UGAAUACGAGAUGCUACGGCGUCGAAGCAGUGUAUGUCAGACUUCCAAGAAAAGCUCGCAAUGUCAUAAAUAAAUAAUGCCUGUACCAUAACCGACACAGGUGGGUAGGUAGAGUAUACUAAGGGGCGCGAGAUAACUCUCUCUAAGGAACUCGGCAAAAUAACUCCGUAACUUCGGGAGAAGGAGUGCCUUAUUUAUAAGGUUGCAAUAACAAGAUCCAAGCAACUGUUUAUCAAAAACACAGGUCUCCGCUAAGUCGUAAGACGAUGUAUGGGGGCUGACGCCUGCCCAGUGCCAGAAGGUUAAAGAAGUUGGUUAGCAUUGCGAAGCUGAUGACUGAAGCCCUGGUGAACGGCGGCCGUAACAAUAACGGUCCUAAGGUAGCGAAAUUCCUUGUCGGGUAAGUUCCGACCCGCACGAAAGGCGUAAUGAUUUGGAUACUGUCUCGGAGAGGGACUCGGUGAAAUAGACUUGUCUGUGAAGAUGCGGACUACCUGCACCAGGACAGAAAGACCCUAUGAAGCUUUACUGUAACUUGAAAUUGAAAUUGGACUUUAUUUGCGCAGUAUAGGUGGGAGGCGUUGAAAAUAAUCUCGCGGGAUUAUUGGAGCCAUCAGUGAGAUACCACUCCUAUAAUGUUAGAUUUCUAACUUUGUAUCAUUAUCUGGUCAAAGAACAGUUUCAGGCGGGCAGUUUGACUGGGGCGGUCGCCUCCUAAAUGGUAACGGAGGCGUACAAAGGUUUCCUCUGAACGGGUAGAAAUCGUAUCUAGAGUAUAAAGGCAUAAGGAAGCUUGACUGUGAGACCUACAAGUCGAGCAGGGACGAAAGUCGGUCUUAGUGAUCUGACGGUGCUGAGUGGAAAGGCCGUCACUCAACGGAUAAAAGUUACUCUAGGAUAACAGGCUGAUCUCCCCCAAGAGUUCACAUCGACGGGGAGGUUUGGCACCUCGAUGUCGGCUCAUCGCAUCCUGGGGCGGUAGUACGUCCCAAGGGUUGGGCUGUUCGCCCAUGAAAGCGGUACGCGAGCUGGGUUCAGAACGUCGUGAGACAGUUCGGUCCAUAUCCGGUGUAGGCGUUAGAAUAUUGAGAGGAGCCUUCUUUAGUACGAGAGGACCGAGAAGGACAUACCUCUGGUGUACCAGUUAUCGUGCCAACGGUAAACGCUGGGUAGCUAUGUAUGGAGUGGAUAACCGCUGAAAGCAUCUAAGUGGGAAGCCCACCUCAAGAUGAGUAUUC
rnacentral:rRNA from 1 species